UGCAAGUCGAACGGUAACAGGCCGCAAGGUGCUGACGAGUGGCGAACGGGUGAGUAAUGCAUCGGAACGUGCCCAGUCGUGGGGGAUAACGCAGCGAAAGCUGCGCUAAUACCGCAUACGAUCUAUGGAUGAAAGCGGGGGACCGUAAGGCCUCGCGCGAUUGGAGCGGCCGAUGUCAGAUUAGGUAGUUGGUGAGGUAAAGGCUCACCAAGCCAACGAUCUGUAGCUGGUCUGAGAGGACGACCAGCCACACUGGGACUGAGACACGGCCCAGACUCCUACGGGAGGCAGCAGUGGGGAAUUUUGGACAAUGGGCGCAAGCCUGAUCCAGCAAUGCCGCGUGCAGGAAGAAGGCCUUCGGGUUGUAGACUGCUUUUGUACGGAACGAAAAGGCUCUGGUUAAGACCUGGGGCAUAGGACGGUACCGUAAGAAUAAGCACCGGCUAACUACGUGCCAGCAGCCGCGGUAAUACGUAGGGUGCAAGCGUUAAUCGGAAUUACUGGGCGUAAAGCGUGCGCAGGCGGUUUUGUAAGACAGGCGUGAAAUCCCCGGGCUCAACCUGGGAAUUGCGCUUGUGACUGCAAGGCUGGAGUGCGGCAGAGGGGGAUGGAAUUCCGCGUGUAGCAGUGAAAUGCGUAGAUAUGCGGAGGAACACCGAUGGCGAAGGCAAUCCCCUGCGCCUGCACUGACGCUCAUGCA
rnacentral:rRNA from 1 species